UACGAGGGGAGCAAGCGUUGUUCGGAUUUACUGGGCGUAAAGGGCGCGUAGGCGGCCACGACAAGUCACUUGUGAAAUCUCCGGGCUUAACUCGGAACGGUCAAGUGAUACUGUCGGGCUAGAGUACAGAAGGGGCAACUGGAAUUCUCGGUGUAGCGGUGAAAUGCGUAGAUAUCGAGAGGAACACCUGCGGCGAAGGCGGGUUGCUGGGCUGAUACUGACGCUGAAGCGCGAAAGCCAGGGGAGCGAACGGG
rnacentral:rRNA from 1 species